CCUACGGGUGGCAGCAGUGAGGAAUAUUGGUCAAUGGACGAGAGUCUGAACCAGCCAAGUAGCGUGAAGGAUGACUGUCCUAUGGGCUGUAAACUUCUUUUAUAAAGGAAUAAAACGAGGCACGUGUGCCUUUUUGCAUGUACUUUAUGAUUAAGGAUCGGCUAACUCCGGGCCAGCAGCCGCGGUAAUACGGAGGAUCCGAGCGUUACCCGGAUUUAUUGGGUUUAAAGGGAGCGUAGAUGGGUUGUUAAGUCAGUUGUGAAAGUUUGCGGCUCAACCGUAAAAUUGCAAUUGAUACUGGCAGUCUAGAGUACAGUUGAGGUAAGCGGAAUUCGUGGUGUAGCGGUGAAAUGCUUAGAUAUCACGAAGAACCCCGAUUGCGAAGGCAGCUUACUAAACUGUGACUGACAUUGAUGCACGAAAGUGUGGGUAUCAAACAGGAUUAGAUACCCGAGUAGUC
rnacentral:rRNA from 1 species